AUAAUCAAUUGGCUUAUAAUUGAAGUCUGGCAUGAAAGGGAAUUUGGGAUGUAGCUAUCUUUAAUUAAUAACAAGAAUUUACUAAAUAAGUGAAAAUUCUUAUAUUUAUAAAUAAGACGAGAAGACCCUAGAAAUUUUUAAAAAAAAAUCAUUUCUUUUUGUUGGGGCGACAGGGUUACAUAAAACUAACCUGUAUAUUAUAAGAAAAUUAUAUUUUGUACAAUUAAAUUACUCUAGGGAUAACAGCAUAAUAUUAAAAAGUUUGUGACCUCGAUGUUGGACUAGGGAGUGCAAUAUCUAGAAGGUAUUGUAAUAAGCUCUGUUCGAGCUUAAUACCCUACAUGAUC
rnacentral:rRNA from 1 species